CCCGUGGAUCAUCUACUAGCUUGCUCUGCUGCGCCAUUCUUCCGUGUGCUUCUGCUGGUUUCACCAAUGAUCGACGCUGUAUUGUAUGGAGAGCUUCACGCAGAAGGAGGACCGACGCAUCCAAAAAACAGCGUCUCUGAUGUAGUUGAGAGGCUUGUAGUCUUUCAUAAGUUCAGAAGAGCAUCCUCAGAAUCAGCAGAGUCAGCAGCCGUACCUCCCAACCGUUAGGCGCCACAAGAGGAAGAUCGACAGCCAUUUAUUGCCACGGACAAGCGUCUGAUCCCCUGCCAGGCCGACCGCUCUCACGGGUCAGUUUUUUAAAGCUCAUUUUGUGUUCAGUGUGUCUUAUGAUGGUGUGCUUGUGAAUUU